CACAUGCGGGGAUUGGGAUUCGUCAUUUUGGCGCUCCCUCCGGUGUUUUUGAAUGGUUCAAAAAUCACGCUCCGCAGAGGUUAAACCGGAAAAAAGGACGUAA
rnacentral:sRNA from 1 species